UACGGGGGGGGUAAGCGUUGUUCGGAAUUACUGGGCGUAAAGGGCUCGUAGGCGGCCAACUAAGUCAGACGUGAAAUCCCUCAGCUUAACUGGGGAACUGCGUCUGAUACUGGAUGGCUUGAAUUCGGGAGAGGGAUGCAGAAUUCCAGGUGUAGCGGUGAAAUGCGUAGAUAUCUGGAGGAAUACCGGUGGCGAAGGCGGCAUCCUGGACCGACAUUGACGCUGAGGAGCGAAAGCUAGGGGAGCAAACGGG
rnacentral:rRNA from 1 species